rnacentral:rRNA from 1 species
UACGAGAGGCCCAAACGUUAUUCGGAUUUACUGGGCUUAAAGAGUUCGUAGGCGGCGCAGAAAGUAGGGUGUGAAAGCCCUCGGCUCAACCGAGGAAUUGCGCCCUAAACUACUGUGCUUGAGGAAGCUAGAGGUGAGCAGAACAGAUGGUGGAGCGGUGAAAUGCGUUGAUAUCAUCUGGAAUACCGGAGGCGAAGGCGGCUCACUGGGG